rnacentral:lncRNA from 1 species
AAAAAGGGAGCCCGUUGCGGCACCCUGCCAGAGGGGGAGAUCAUCUCCCAUGGCCAUCUUCAUCAUCCUCGCGAAGGCCAUGAUGAUAAGGGAGUAGUCCACCCUCGGGGCUGAGGGUUUGUACUAGUAGCUAUGUGUUUAAUCUCUCUCUCGUGUUCUUGAGAUAUCAUGAUCUUGAUAUAUCACUGGCCUUGUUAACAUAGUUAGAUCAUAUGGUGUUUGUCCCAUGCUAUGAUUGUGUUGAAUUGAAUCUAUCACUUUAGGAUCUUGUUAUGUUGGAUUGAAUAUUCAGGUUCGAGAGCACAUGAUGUAUGUCUUGCAUGCGGAUACCCGUAGUGACAUUGGACUAUUCAAGUGAUUCACUUGAUAUAUGUUUUGGCACUCAACUCGUGGAUUCUCGAGGUGACAUUGGGGUACUCUAUGCAUAGGGGUUGAUGCACAUUUCCAUACUAUGUUCUCGAUAGAAAUAUUGUGGUGCUCCUUGAAGUUCUUCGUGUUGGAUUACAUAUCAAGAAUCUGAAAUUGUUUGAUGCAUGUUGUAUAAUUAGCCCACGGAUACUUGAGGCGACAUUGGAGUAUCUAGGUGAUAUUAUUGUUGAUUGAUAUGUAUCAAUGGUGUUCUUUUAGUACGAACUCUUGGAUAGAUCGAUCGGAAAGGAUAACUUGUUAUCUUAGUACGAACUCCUGGAAAGAUUGAUCGGAAAGAGUAACUUUGAGGUGGUUUCGUACCUUACAAACAAUUUCUACUUAUGUUCUCCGCUAGAAUGGAACUUUGAAGUGAUUCUUCAUUGCACAUUGAGGGAUUGUUAUUUGAUCCAAUUAUAUUAGCAUUGUUGAGAGUUUGCACUAGUGAAAGUAUGGACCAUAGGCCUCAUUUUCAAGCAUUGCAAUAUCGUUUCUGCUCAUUUUCGUUACUUGUUACCUUUUGUUUUUAUUCAUUAGGAUUAUAAAAAUAUAUUUCUACCAUCCAUAUUACACUUGUAUCACCAUCUCUUCACCGAACUAGUGCACCUAUGCAAUUUACCAUCGUAAUGGGUGUGUUGGGGACACAAGAGACUUUUUAUUUUUUUGUUGCAGGGUUGUGUAAGUGAGACAGUAUCCAUCCUACGCCUCCCACCAAUUGAUAAACCUUAUAUCAUCAACUUGAGAGAAACUCGCUACUGUCCUACAAAAGUAUGUGCUUGGAGGCCCAACACGAGUCUAUAAGAAUAAGGUUGCGUAGUAUACAUCAAUGGUGGCUUCAAUUUCCCCCUCUCAGAAGGAAGUUUCCCCGGCAGAAUCUAUUUGUUGGAGAGCAAAAGGGCCUCUACCUAGGUUUCCUCCACAAGACGGCGGUGCUUCGACCCGAAGAGAUGACUUAUUUUUUUCUAGGAUAAAACACACCAUAUAGGAGAAGAUGGUCGCGAGAGGGCUAGCAGGGGGGCACAAGCCAUGAGGGCGUGGCCUCAGGGGGGGCGCCCUGUUGGCUUCUAGCCAGCAGGUGGCCCCUCUCUGGUAUAUUUUUGGCUCAUAAAUUCUUAAAAAUUAUGAAAAAAAUCUUUGUAAAGUUUCACGUCAUUUGGAGCAAGUUAAUUUUCCACCUUUUUCUCGGUUUCCCGGCCUAGAAUUCCAGUUUCCAAAUAUUUCCCUCUCAGUGAUGUACCUUGCAUAUUCUGAGAGAAGGAGGAUAAGAAUUUUAUAAUGAUGAGGGAUAAUGGACUCGAUUAAACGAAUAUCA